rnacentral:rRNA from 1 species
GACGAACGCUGGCGGCGUGCUUAACACAUGCAAGUCGAACGGAAAGGCCCUGCUUUUGUGGGUUUCUCGAGUGGCGAACGGGUGAGUAACACGUGAGUAACCUGCCCUUAAAUGUGGGAUAACUUCAGGAAACUGGGGCUAAUACCGGAUAGGAGCUCCUGCUGCAUGGGGGGGGAUGGAAAGUUUCGGCGGUUGGGGAUGGAUUCGCGGCUUAUCAGCUUGUUGGUGGGGUAGUGGCUUACAAAGGCUUUGAAGGGUAGCCUGCCUGAGAGGGUGACCGGCCACAUUGGGACUGAGAUACGGCCCAGACUCCUACGGGAGGCCGCAGUGGGGAAUAUUGCACAAUGGGCGGAAGCCUGAUGCAGCAACGCCGCGUGCGGGAUGACGGCCUUCGGGUUGUAAACCGCUUUCGCCUGUGACGAAGCGUGAGUGACGGUAAUGGGUAAAGAAGCACCGGCUAACUACGUG